rnacentral:rRNA from 1 species
AUUGAACGCUGGCGGAAUGCUUUACACAUGCAAGUCGAACGGUAGAGGGGGCAACCCCUCGAGAGUGGCGAACGGGUGAGUAAUAUAUCGGAACGUGCCCAGUCGUGGGGGAUAACGUAGCGAAAGUUACGCUAAUACCGCAUACGAUCUAAGGAUGAAAGCGGGGGAUCGCAAGACCUCGCGCGAUUGGAGCGGCCGAUAUCAGAUUAGGUAGUUGGGGGGGGAAAGGCUCACCAAGCCAACGAUCUGGAGCUGGUCUGAGAGGACGACCAGCCACACUGGAACUGAGACACGGUCCAGACUCCUACGGGAGGCAGCAGUGGGGAAUUUUGGACAAUGGACGCAAGUCUGAUCCAGCCAUUCCGCGUGCAGGAUGAAGGCCCUCGGGUUGUAAACUGCUUUUGUACGGAACGAAAAGGUCUCUCUUAAUACUAGGAGCUCAUGACGGUACUGUAAGAAUAAGCACCGGCUAACUACGUGCCAGCCGCCGCCGUAA